rnacentral:rRNA from 1 species
GACGAAGGUGACGACCGUUGCUCGGAAUCACUGGGCAUAAAGCGCGCGUAGGUGGCUUGGUACGUCCGUGGUGAAAUCCUCCGGCUCAACCGGAGAACUGCCUCGGAUACUGGGCGUCUCGAGUGUGGUAGGGGUAUGCGGAACUAUCGGUGGAGCGGUGAAAUGCGUUGAUAUCGAUAGGAACUCCGGUGGCGAAGGCGGCAUACUGGACCACCACUGACGCUGAUGCGCGAAAGCCAGGGGAGCAAACGGG